rnacentral:rRNA from 1 species
UACGGAGGAUGCGAGCGUUAUCCGGAUUUAUUGGGUUUAAAGGGUGCGCAGGCGGAAGAUUAAGUCGGCGGUGAAAUUUUGCAGCUCAACUGUAAAAGUGCCAUCGAUACUGGUUUUCUUGAGUGUGGAUGAAGUAGGCGGAAUUUGUGGUGUAGCGGUGAAAUGCAUAGAUAUCACGAGGAACUCCGAUUGCGCAGGCAGCUUACUAAACCAUAACUGACGCUCAGGCACGAAGGCGUGGGGAUCAAACAGGAUUAGA